CUCCACCACACCCUGCUGGCAAAGGACAGAACAUCCUCAGGAAGCAAGCCAAGGAGCUGUGACAGCAGAGCACUGUGUCCUGCUGCGUAACAAGCCACCCUGAGCUUCCUGGCUCCGCACAGCCAUCUACCACAUCUCGUAGUGCACAGACACCAGGAGACAAAGAGAGCAGCCACACAGGAAGCCUGCUCAGCCACGGCCACACACUGCCAUUACGGAAGCUGCAAAACACCAGGGUCUUCGUGUCACCUCUCAACACUGCCGGUUGGUGGCAAGGAACCAGGCGUUGCACAUCCUCCUGCCGACCUCCCGGGUGACGCAGCGUGCAGCAGCAUUGCCCUGCUUUGCAGCACGGGGACACCUGGGUUACUUCCGAGCCAGCGGCAUCGAUCUGCUGUGCAGUGGGGCUCUCUCUGCUCACCUUCUCAUCUCUCACUUGUGCCUAGGGGUCAUCAGCCUUUGGGGUCAGGGGAAGAGAGAAAUAAAGUGUUGAUUGUUUAAACCCAAACUCAUAACACCGUCCAAGCGUGUCUCUGGAAAGCUUUCCUCCUACU
rnacentral:lncRNA from 1 species